ACGAACGCUGGCGGCGUGCUUAACCCAUGCAAGUCGCACGGAAAGGCCCUGCUUUUGUGGGGUGCUCGAGUGGCGAACGGGUGAGUAACACGUGAGUAACCUGCCCUUGACUUUGGGAUAACUUCAGGAAACUGGGGCUAAUACCGGAUAGGAGCCCCUGCUGCAUGGUGGGGGUUGGAAAGUUUCGGCGGUUGGGGAUGGACUCGCGGCUUAUCAGCUUGUUGGUGGGGUAGUGGCUUACCAAGGCUUUGACGGGUAGCCGGCCUGAGAGGGUGACCGGCCACAUUGGGACUGAGAUACGGCCCAGACUCCUACGGGAGGCAGCAGUGGGGAAUAUUGCACAAUGGGCGGAAGCCUGAUGCAGCAACGCCGCGUGCGGGAUGACGGCCUUCGGGUUGUAAACCGCUUUCGCCUGUGACGAAGCGUGAGUGACGGUAAUGGGUAAAGAAGCACCGGCUAACUACGUG
rnacentral:rRNA from 1 species